rnacentral:lncRNA from 1 species
GGGGCUUUAAAUAGCCAACAUAAAACAAAAAUAUGCAUAAUUUGAAAUCUAAAACAACCUAAAUUAUCUCAUAACUAAACAAACUAACAAAUAUUUAAAAUUCUAGUGUAGUAACUUAAAGCAAUUUCCAACAGAUCCUCGUAUAGCCUAUGGACAAUUUUCUUAUUCUGUGGCGCUUGGUUUUGGGGGGCUACUUGGAAAUAUAGAAAAAUGAAGAUGGAAGCCAAGCUGAAGAAUUGCAUUUUGGGAGAGUUAGAAAUGUG